GAACAUAGCUGACCUCUUCUGACUAUUUACCACACGCUGCCAUCUGAGUGCUUUGCAAGCAAUGUUAGGUGUUUUUUACAGCAACCCACUAGAUAGGGAUGAUUAUCCCCAUUCUACGGAUGCAGAAAACUGAGGCACAGAGCAUUUGCACAACUUGACAAGCUCAGCAGGCAGCCAGAAAGGGGCCACACCCAGCCUGACCCAUGGACUCUACCAUCCCUGUGUGACCUGCAAGGGUGUGACCCAAGUCUCCUCUUCCUUCUGAGCUCCAUGUCUACCUUUGCUCUGCUCGGCAGUCAGCUUCAUUCCCAAGCUGCAGAAGUCUCCAC
rnacentral:lncRNA from 1 species